GUAAAGACCAUGUUUUUUUUACAUGAUCAUGAAGGUGGUUUUCCCAGAGCAAGGCUUAUCCGAGCGCUCCGGAUGUGCUGCCCCCUGUGAUUUCCCCACAUGUGGGAAACUCAAUUGCAGAAUUUGUGGUAGUGGGGACUGCGUUUGCACUCUCCCCU
ensembl:snRNA U1 U1 spliceosomal RNA